UUGGAGGGCAAGUCUGGUGCCAGCAGCCGCGGUAAUUCCAGCUCCAAUAGCGUAUAUUAAAGUUGUUGCAGUUAAAAAGCUCGUAGUUGAACUUCGGGAUCAAGGAAUCGGUCAUGCCUUGGUAUGCACUGGUUUUAUUGGUUCUCACCUUCUAAAGAACCAUAAUGUCAUUCAUUUGAUGUUAUGGGGAAUUAGGACUGUUACCUUGAAAAAAUUAGAGUGUUUAAAGCAAGCUUACGCUUGAAUACAUUAGCAUGGAAUAAUGAAAUAGGACAUCCGAUUCUAUUUUGUUGGUUUCUAGGAUCGAUGUAAUGAUUAAUAGGGAUAGUUGGGGGCAUUAGUAUUCAAUUGUCAGAGGUGAAAUUCUUGGAUUUAUUGAAGACUAACUACUGCGAAAGCAUUUGCCAAGGAUGUUUUCAUUAAUCAAGAACGAAAGUUAGGGGAUCGAAGACGAUCAGAUACCGUCGUAGUCUUAACCAUAAACUAUGCCGACUAGGGAUCGGAUGAUGUUAAUUUUAUAAUGACUCACUCGGCACCUUACGGGAAACCAAAGUGUUUGGGUUC
rnacentral:rRNA from 1 species